rnacentral:lncRNA from 1 species
GACAUCUAACCAUAUAUCAUGGCUACCCAAGCUAAUAUAGAAUUUGUUCGGAGAACCUAUUCAGUUGGAAUUACAAUGUAAUUCGAUCCUUCUCUAAAACAAUACUCACAAUCAUAUUACUAGGGUAUGGAUAUUUAAUGUCAAACCCCUAAUAUGAUUAUUCCAUGUUAUAUGAUUCAAUUGAGUCGUAUAGGAACGUUUUCCUUCAUUACGCUCUAUACUUCGGCCGAAGAUUCCCGAAUCAUAUCUUAAAGUAUUCAUCCUCUCAUAACGAGGAUUAGAGAUCCCUUGUUGAUCAUUCACAUGCCUCUGAGAAUAAAUCACUGACCCCAACAAUGCAUCGAACACACCCAAGAUGAGGUGUGGUCACGUCUCAUUAUCAAAAUGAUCAGCAACGUAUCCCCAAGACAACUAUGAUGUCUCAGGUCAAAGGAUUACUUACAUUAUUCCAACCAUUAGAGUUACUUGCUUGACAUGUGAGUAGACAUCCAUGCAAGUACUCUCGUUCGAUUGUGUUCAGUGAACUCAUUCCCUUAAUGAGCACCUACAUACCUGUCUUAGUGUCACUACAUGAAUGGGAUGAGACUUUCCAUCCUUCCAAUUGAAGGGGACAUAGUAUGUACUGGUCUAUGCAUUUUCAGUAUCCCUCUGACAAUCCUAAGACCAGGAACCUUUUGGACAUGAUGGUUAUGUGAAGAAGGUCUCUGCAGUCUAACAUCAUUAGAUUACUUCUUCCAUCGAUCCAUUGUCCAUGGAUUCACUAUUUAGGACAUAUAUCGUUUAUUGAGAUAGUCCUAAUUAGUAUCUUUGCAUUUUGAUGUAUAAGAAUCAUCUAUAAACACAUUCAUUGUCUUGAAAGGUUUUUUCCAAAGAUUGACUUUCAGGGCAUAUCUCCAACAAUCUCCUACUUGCACUAAAGUCAAUCACUAGUGUAUCUUAUAGAUGCUAGUCGAGUGAACUUACGCUCAUAGGUAAACUUGGUUAUGUAUUAAUCCUUUUAAUUUAAAAGGGAUUUACUUAGCAAAUGUUUCUAAAACAUUUGAUGAUGUCUCUUUCUUGUGUUCAAAUACUUUGAUGAGACCUUGAUUCCAUGGCUUGAGCUAUCACCCCAUUACAUUGUAGUGUCCUACUAACGACCUUAUGGUUUGGAUUCAAUCAUUGGUUCUAUAAGAACCCCUUCUAUUCAAAACACCUUUUGAAGCAGUUUCUAAAACUAUAUAUCGACAUAUAUUUCGUUUGUAUACUUUAUACAUACUUUGCUCCAACAUUGAGACCAUUGUAGUACAAUACUAACAAUACAUUCAUUUGAUUAGUACUUCAUCCAUUAUGAAGUUCCAUUUGUUAAAAUGGGUUAUUUUCACUUUGGUUUAUAACCUAAGUGAACGCACGCUUCCAGAGUCCGACUCUGAUGUUUCUUUCUUAAAGGCAAUAAUACUCUAUCAGUUGCUACGGUUCUGAUCUUGGGCUAUAGUAAUAUCUUAAAGUGACAACCCCAAUGGUUUUUCACCUUUGGAUAUUGUCUCACAAGUCCAUACAUGUGUCCCUUUUGUGAUUUUGUGACACAUUCAUUAUAAGGGUCACGAAAGUGAUUUUCUAUCAUAUAAGAAAAUACUUUCUCAAACCUUCAACAUUUGAGAUUUAAUUUCCCCAUAUAACAUCUUUGAGAUAGCCUUGCUAUAUCAUUAAGUCCAAUUUCAAGUCUAUACUUCAAAAUUGACCGUGUCACGUUUUGUCAUUUUGAGUAACAUCUAUGUUUUAUCAAGUCUAUCAAAUAGACUUUAUUCAUAUCUUGUUGCUCAAAUUAUGACGUCACUCCCAUUGGGCUUGUUGUAACUUAGCAUUCAUUCAAAAACUUAACACUUAUAUUUUCUUGAUUUGAAUGCAUAUUGCUCCCACUAACUUGUCUUGGAUCUAUUGACAAUCAUUGAGAUCCAUUAGCUUAUUGAUGAUGUCUCAACAAUUUUGGGACUAUCAACAACUCUAGCUAACACAAGUUAUUUAAACGAACAUACACAAAAGAAUUCCUUCUCAAGUAAUUCCAUUUGAAAUGUGUGACUUGCUUUAUCAAGUCUAUUCAUUUAAAUUAUAUGGUGUCAUACACCAUACUUCAGGUUUUAGUCAUACUAAGACCUUUAAUGUAGUCAUAUAAGAAUUAUUCAAGUCAUUAGUGGAGGCAUGGCUCCUACUAAGGAUAUAGAAACUCAACCAUACCUUCUAGAUGGUUGAUAUAAUUCUUUAUCAAAACUACAUAAAGUGUUAUAGUUACAUGAGGUGCCGAAUUUGGAUUGUCUUGUUGUUAAACCAUAUGUUGUGACUCAUUUUGAAACUAUUCCCUUUUGUUUCAUCAAUUUGUCCAUAUGCUUUGUUAUUAGCUUGUUCUCAUAAAAGAGAAUGAUGGACAACUCCCAACAUAUAACCAUUUUAUGCUAGGUCGACGAAACCAACAUUCAUAGACUAUUCUUUAGAAUGUUACACAACAUAGAAUUUCAACGCUUCAAAGAGCUUGAGACCUUUUAACAAUUAAAAUUACAAGCUCAUUAAUAGUAGUAAAGUACUAUUAAUUUUUAGACAACUAUAAACCAAUCAUAUUCAAGUUUAUAUCCUUUUCUCACCUCCCACUGUUUUCUCAUGACCUUAAUGAGAAAUCGCAUUAUAUAUUCAUAGUGUAUAAUUAUGAAGUAUACGGGUAGAGGACAUUGUGGAGUAGCUUAGAACCUUUUAAGCUUAUUAUUCCAACUCCACUAAGUUCAUGUCUUGUUAUUAAGUGACUAAAGUCUUUAAACCUUUUAUAGAUUUAGACACUUCAUCAUUGGUUUGAUCACUAACAUAUUUGACAUUUCUUAAAACAAUUCAAGAAUGUCCAAUUAGUUGUUUAAAACUACUAAUUGAACCAAGAGUGAUCUUGGUUAUUGUGGUUAAGUAAGUGAUAACCAUAUAAGAAACAUUUUUCUUAUGUAUUACUUAUGUCAUUAUAAUGUGAUCUUCCUUUUCUUCAAGAAAGGAAAUCUCUAGACUUUCUCAAUUCAUAUAGAACUUAUAUGUAGGCUAUUGGAACCAAAUCUAAAGAUUCAUUGUAUCCAUCUAUGGCCAACAUGUAAGAUCUAUACUUAAUUGAUAAAUCCAAAGCUUGGAUAUCGCAUUAUAUAAGUGAUUCAUUUCUUGUAUUUCAACUAGAAUACAACAAGACAAUUUUUCAAUUCAUAAUACUACUACUUUGAAGAACAAAAUUUAGUAGAAGGCAUUCAUCACAUUACAUUGAUAUGAUAAGUCAAACAUUCAUAAUGUUUAAUACAAAAGGAAUUAGCUCUAUACAUUUUAGAGACUAAUUAUAUACCUUCAUAUAGGCACCAAUAGUGGUCUUCCAACAUAUGAAGCCACAUAAUAAGUUCUUAAACAAAAUAAGAAAGUUUAAAGACUAUCUUUAAGUGCCUAACAAACUUCCUAAGUAGUUAGCAAAAAAUUUGUGGCCGAACCCUUCUCGAUCCUUUUCCUUGCUUGUUCAUCUUCUACUUGGCUCCAUCACCUACAUACAAUUGCAUAAGUGAUUAGCAUUUUAUAUCAAAUAUAAAGAUUAGAAGAUCUAACAAUUAGAAUUGAAGAUAAGAACAUAAACCAUACCUUGUGGCUUGUCCUUAAGAGUUGCAAGGUAUAACCUGCAAUUCCUCUCUUCCAAUGCCCGUCCUUUCCACAGUGGUGGCAAGUCCCCUUGGGCUCCUUUGCCUUCUUUUUCUUCACUCCUCCUUGGGCCUUAGGAGUGGAUGACUUCUCCUUUCCUUUGCCUUUGCCUUUCGGCUUGGCUUUGGAAGAGGAUGACUUGUUGUAGGCUACUGCAGCAGUCCCUACAACAUUCUCUUUCUUCAUAGUCUUCUCAGCGGUUACUAACAUGUUUAGUAACUCAAAGAAAGUG